rnacentral:rRNA from 1 species
CCUACGGGGGGCUGCAGUGGGGAAUAUUGGACAAUGGGCGAAAGCCUGAUCCAGCCAUGCCGCGUGUGUGAAGAAGGCCUUCGGGUUGUAAAGCACUUUCAGUGGGGAAGAAAGCCUUGGGGCUAAUACCCUCGAGGAAGGACAUCACCCACAGAAGAAGCACCGGCUAACUCCGUGCCAGCAGCCGCGGUAAUACGGAGGGUGCGAGCGUUAAUCGGAAUUACUGGGCGUAAAGCGCGCGUAGGCGGUCUGAUAAGCCGGUUGUGAAAGCCCCGGGCUCAACCUGGGAACGGCAUCCGGAACUGUCAGGCUUGAGUGCAGGAGAGGAAGGUAGAAUUCCCGGUGUAGCGGUGAAAUGCGUAGAGAUCGGGAGGAAUACCAGUGGCGAAGGCGGCCUUCUGGACUGACACUGACGCUGAGGUGCGAAAGCGUGGGUAGCAAACAGGAUUAGAUACCCGUGUAGUC